AUACGUAGGUGGCAAGCGUUAUCCGGAAUUAUUGGGCGUAAAGAGUGAGCAGGCGGUUAAUUAAGUCUGAGGUUAAAGCGUGGGGCUCAACCCCAUAAAGCCUUGGAAACUGAUUGACUAGAGUACGGGAGAAGUGAAGGGAACUCCCAGGGGAGCGGUGAAGUGCGUAGAUAUAUGGAAGAACACCAGUGGCGAAGGCGCUUCACUAGCCCGAAACUGACGCUCAGUCACGAAAGCGUGGGUAGCAAAUAGGAUUAGAUACCCUAGUAGUCCACGCUGUAAACGAUGACAACUAAAUAUUGCCGCGAGGCAGUGUUGAAGCUAACGCAUUAAGUUGUCCGCCUGGGGAGUACGGUCGCAAGACUGAAACUUAAAGGAAUUGACGGGG
rnacentral:rRNA from 1 species